rnacentral:rRNA from 1 species
UACGGAGGAUGCGAGCGUUAUCCGGAUUUAUUAGGUUUAAAGGGUGCGUAGGCGGACUGUCAAGUCAGCGGUAAAAUUGAGAGGCUCAACCUCUUCCCGCCGUUGAAACUGGUGGUCUUGAGUGGAUGAGAAGUACGCGGAAUGCGUGGUGUAGCGGUGAAAUGCAUAGAUAUCACGCAGAACUCCGAUUGCGAAGGCAGCGUACCGGCAUCCAACUGACGCUGAGGCACGAAAGCGUGGGGAUCAAACAGG